rnacentral:rRNA from 1 species
AGAGUUUGAUCCUGGCUCAGGAUGAACGCUAGCGACAGGCUUAACACAUGCAAGUCGAGGGGCAGCGAGGGAGUGGCAACACUUCCGUCGGCGACCGGCGCACGGGUGAGUAACGCGUAUGCAACCUGCCCUUCACAGGGGGAUAACCGGGAGAAAUUCCGACUAAUACCGCAUACGUCCUCCGGGGGCAUCCCCGGGGGAUGAAAGAGUUAUCGGUGAAGGAUGGGCAUGCGUGAUAUUAGGUAGUUGGCGGGGCAACGGCCCACCAAGCCCACGAUAUCUAGGGGUUCUGAGAGGAAGGUCCCCCACAUUGGUACUGAGACACGGACCAAACUCCUACGGGAGGCAGCAGUGAGGAAUAUUGGUCAAUGGACGAGAGUCUGAACCAGCCAAGUCGCGUGAAGGAAGACGGAUCUAUGGUUUGUAAACUUCUUUAGUGCGGGAACAAAGCGGCGUCGUGACGCCGGAUGAGUGUACCGCAAGAAUAAGCAUCGGCUAACUCCGUGCCAGCAGCCGCGGUAAUACGGAGGAUGCGAGCGUUAUCCGGAUUUAUUGGGUUUAAAGGGAGCGCAGGCUGCGAGGCAAGUCAGCGGUCAAAUGUCGGGGCUCAACCCCGGCCUGCCGUUGAAACUGUUUUGCUAGAGUUCGAGUGAGGUAUGCGGAAUGCGUUGUGUAGCGGUGAAAUGCAUAGAUAUGACGCAGAACUCCGAUUGCGAAGGCAGCAUACCAACUCGCGACUGACGCUGAGGCUCGAAAGCGUGGGUAUCGAACAGGAUUAGAUACCCUGGUAGUCCACGCAGUAAACGAUGAAUACUAACUGUUCGGAGGGCGACCUCUGAGUGGUAAAGCGAAAGCGUUAAGUAUUCCACCUGGGGAGUACGCCGGCAACG